ACGCUCGACACCUACGGAGGCAGCAGUGGGGAAUAUUGGGCAAUGGGCGCAAGCCUGACCCAGCAACGCCGCGUGAAGGAAGAAGGCUUUCGGGUUGUAAACUUCUUUUCUUGAGGACGAAGAAGUGACGGUACUCAAGGAAUAAGCUCCGGCUAACUACGUGCCAUCAGCCGCGGUAAUCUGAGCGGGCUGGCAAGGC
rnacentral:rRNA from 1 species